UCGAUGUCUAGGGGCUCUGAGAGGAUUGUCCCCCACACUGGUACUGAGACACGGACCAGACUCCUACGGGAGGCAGCAGUAAGGAAUAUUGGUCAAUGGACGAAAGUCUGAACCAGCCAUGCCGCGUGCAGGAUGACGGCCCUAUGGGUUGUGAACUGCUUUUAUACGGGAAGAAUCCCCUGUACGUGUACAGGGUUGACGGUACCGUACGAAUAAGGAUCGGCUAACUCCGUGCCAGCAGCCGCGGUAAUACGGAGGAUCCAAGCGUUAUCCGGAUUUAUUGGGUUUAAAGGGUGCGUAGGCGGAAUGAUAAGUUAGUGGUGAAAUCCCUCGGCUCAACCGGGGCACUGCCAUUAAAACUGUCAUUCUUGAGUAUAGUUGAAGUGGGCGGAAUGUAUCAUGUAGCGGUGAAAUGCUUAGAUAUGAUACAGAACACCGAUAGCGUAGGCAGCUUGCUAAACUAUAACUGACGCUCAGGCACGAAAGCGUGGGGAGCAAACAGGAUUAGAUACCCUGGUAGUCCACGCCGUAAACGAUGAUCACUCGCUGUUGGCGAUACACAGUCAGCGGCUUAGGGAAACCAUUAAGUGAUCCACCUGGGGAGUACGGUCGCAAGAUUGAAACUCAAAGGAAUUGACGGGGGCCCGCACAAGCGGAGGAGCAUGUGGUUUAAUUCGAUGAUACGCGAGGAACCUUACCUGGGCUUAAAUGUAAGACGACAGUCCCCGAAAGGGGACUUUCCUUCGGGACGUCCUACAAAGUGCUGCAUGGUUGUCGUCAGCUCGUGCCGUGAGGUGUCGGGUUAAGUCCCAUAACGAGCCAACCCCUAUCCUUAGUUGCCAUCAGAUAAUGCUGGGGACUCUAAGGAAACUGCCUACGCAAGUAGUGAGGAAGGUGGGGAUGACGUCAAAUCAGCACGGCCCUUAUGUCCAGGGCUACACACGUGCUACAAUGGCCGGUACAGAGGGCAGCUACCUGGUGACAGGAUGCUAAUCUCGAAAACCGGUCUCAGUUCGGAUCGAAGUCUGCAACUCGACUUCGUGAAGUCGGAUUCGCUAGUAAUCGCACAUCAGCCAUGGCGCGGUGAAUACGUUCCCGGGCCUUGUACACACCGCCCGUCAAGCCAUGGAAGCUGGGGGUACCUAAAGUCCGUAACCGCAAGGAGCGGCCUAGGGUAAAACUAGUAACUGGGGCUAAGUCGGAACAAGGUA
rnacentral:rRNA from 1 species